rnacentral:rRNA from 1 species
ACGUAGGGUGCAAGCGUUAAUCGGAAUUACUGGGCGUAAAGCGUGCGCAGGCGGUUAUAUAAGUCAGAUGUGAAAUCCCUGGGCUCAACCUAGGAACUGCAUUUGAGACUGUAUAGCUAGAGUGUGUCAGAGGGGGAUGGAAUUCCGCGUGUAGCAGUGAAAUGCGUAGAUAUGCGGAGGAACACCGAUGGCGAAGGCAAUCCCCUGGGCCUGCACUGACGCUCAUGCACGAAAGCGUGGGGAGCAAACAGGAUUAGAUACCCUGGUAGUCCACGCCCUAAACGAUGUCAACUGGUUGUUGGGUCUCUUCUGACUCAGUAACGAAGCUAACGCGUGAAGUUGACCGCCUGGGGAGUACGGCCGCAAGGUUG